GGUUAAUAUUCCUGCACCUCGCGUAAGUGCGAUGGAGGGACGGAGAAGGUUAUGCCAGCUUGGCGAUGGUUGUCCAAGUGGAAGGAUGUAGUUAGGUUUAGUAGGCAAAUCCGCUAGACUAUUAAUGAGAUCUGAUAGCAAGCUGUACUUGUACAGCGAAGUGGCAAAUACCCUGCUUCCAGGAAAAGCUUCUAAGCGAUAGUCAUAAAGAAAUCGUACCCUAAACCGACACAGGUGGUCAGGUAGAGAAUACCAAGGCGCUUGAGAGAACUCUGCUGAAGGAACUAGGCAAAAUGGUACCGUAACUUCGGGAG
rnacentral:rRNA from 1 species